rnacentral:rRNA from 1 species
AACGUAGGACGCAAGCGUUAUCCGGAAUUACUGGGCGUAAAGCGCGUGCAGGCGGAGGCUUAAGUCACUGGUGAAAGCGCCGGGCUAAACCCGGCGAGGUCCGGUGAUACUGGGUCUCUGGAGGGUGUCAGAGGGGUGCGGAAUUCCGGGUGGAGUGGUGAAAUGCGUAGAGAUCCGGAGGAACACCAGAGGCGAAGGCGGCACCCUGGGACAUUCCUGACGCUGAGGCGCGAAAGCCAGGGGAGCAAACGGG